UACGUAGGUGGCGAGCGUUGUCCGGAUUUAUUGGGCGUAAAGAGCGCGCAGGCGGUCGUUCAAGUCGAGUGUGAAAGCCCCCGGCUCAACUGGGGAGGGUCACUCGAUACUGAUCGACUUGAAGGCAGGAGAGGGAAGCGGAAUUCCCGGUGUAGUGGUGAAAUGCGUAGAUAUCGGGAGGAACACCAGUGGCGAAGGCGGCUUCCUGGCCUGCUCUUGACGCUGAGGCGCGAAAGCUAGGGUAGCAAACGGG
rnacentral:rRNA from 1 species